rnacentral:rRNA from 1 species
GACGAACGCUGGCGGCGUGCUUAACACAUGCAAGUCGAACGGAAAGGCCCUGCUUUUGUGGGGUGCUCGAGUGGCGAACGGGUGAGUAACACGUGAGUAACCUGCCCUUGACUUUGGGAUAACUUCAGGAAACUGGGGCUAAUACCGGAUAGGAGCUCCUGCUGCAUGGUGGGGGUUGGAAAGUUUCGGCGGUUGGGGAUGGACUCGCGGCUUAUCAGCUUGUUGGUGGGGUAGUGGCUUACCAAGGCUUUGACGGGUAGCCGGCCUGAGAGGGUGACCGGCGACCAUGGGCCUGAGGUAGGCACCAGUCGCCAACGGGAGGCAGCAGUGGGAAAUAUUACACAGUGAUCCCAAGCCUGAUGCAGAAACGCCGGGUUCGGGAUGACGGCUUUUUGGUUGUGAACAGCUUUCGCCUGAGACGAAGCGGGAGUGACGGUAAUGGGUAAAGAAGCACCGGCUAACUACGUG